AGUGAACGCUGGCGGUAGGCCUAACACAUGCAAGUCGAACGGCAGCACAGGAGAGCUUGCUCUCUGGGUGGCGAGUGGCGGACGGGUGAGGAAUACAUCGGAAUCUACUUUUUCGUGGGGGAUAACGUAGGGAAACUUACGCUAAUACCGCAUACGACCUACGGGUGAAAGCAGGGGACCUUCGGGCCUUGCGCGAUUGAAUGAGCCGAUGUCGGAUUAGCUAGUUGGCGGGGUAAAGGCCCACCAAGGCGACGAUCCGUAGCUGGUCGGAGGGGAUAAUCGGCCACACUGGAACUGAGACACGGUCCAGACUCCUGCGGGAGGCAGCAGUGGGGAAUAUUGGCCAAUGGGCGCAAGCCUGAUCCAGCCAUACCGCGUGGGUGAAGAAGGCCUUCGGGUUGUAAAGCCCUUUUGUUGGGAAAGAAAUCCAGCUGGCUAAUACCCGGUUGGAAUGACGGUACCCAAAGAAUAAGCACCGGCUAACUUCGUGCCAGCAGCCGCAGUAA
rnacentral:rRNA from 1 species